rnacentral:rRNA from 1 species
GAUGAACGCUAGCGGAAGGCUUAAUACAUGCAAGUCGAGCGGUAGGUGGCUUCGGCCAUUGAGAGCGGCGCACGGGUGAGUAACGCGUACAUGACCUGCCUGUCAGAAGGGGAUAGCCCUGGGAAACUGGGAUUAAUACCCUAUGGUAUUGAUAUUAUGAAUGAUAUCAAUUAAAGUUGAGGCGCUGACAGAUGGAUGUGCGUCUGAUUAGCUAGUUGGUAGGGUAACGGCCUACCAAGGCGACGAUCAGUAGGGGCGUGAGAGCGUGGUCCCCCACAGGGUACUGAGACACGGACCCGACUCCUACGGGAGGCAGCAGUAAGGAAUAUUGGUCAAUGCCCGCAAGGGUGAACCAGCCAUUCCGCGUGGAGGAUGAAGGCCCUAUGGGUUGUAAACUUCUUUUAGAUGGGAAGAAAAUGCUAGAUGUAUCUGGUACUGACGGUACCAAUCAGAAUAAGCACCGGCUAACUCCGUGCCAGCAGCCGC